rnacentral:rRNA from 1 species
GACGAACGCUGGCGGCGUGCUUAACACAUGCAAGUCGAACGGAAAGGCCCUGCUUUUGUGGGGUGCUCGAGUGGCGAACGGGUGAGUAACACGUGAGUAACCUGCCCUUGACUUUGGGAUAACUUCAGGAAACUGGGGCUAAUACCGGAUAGGAGCUCCUGCUGCAUGGUGGGGGUUGGAAAGUUUCGGCGGUUGGGGAUGGACUCGCGGCUUAUCAGCUUGUUGGUGGGGUAGUUGCUUACCAAGGCUUUGACGGGUAGCCGGCCUGAGAGGGUGACCGGCCACAUUGGGACUGAGAUACGGCCCAGACUCCUACGGGAGGCAGCAGUGGAGAAUAUUGCACAAUGGGCGGAAGCCUGAUGCAGCAACGCCGCGUGCGGGAUGACGGCCUUCGGGUUGUAAACCGCUUUCGCCUGUGACGAAGCGUGAGUGACGGUAAUGGGUAAAGAAGCACCGGCUAACUACGUG